rnacentral:miRNA from 1 species
UGUGUAUGUGUGUGUGUGUGUAUAUAUAUAUGUAUAUAUAUACAUAUAUAUAUACACACACACACACAUACACACA